UAUAAAGUAAUUUAAAGAAAGAAAAAUAUAUAAUUUCGGGUUAUACAAUAACUAAGAGUUCUUUAUAU